AAAUCCGGUUGAUCCUGCCGGAGGCUACCGCUAUUGGAGUUCGAUUAAGCCAUGCGAGUCGCGAGAAAUUAGAUUCUCGGCGUACCGCUCAGUAACACGUGGGUAACCUGCCCUAUGCUGGAUAAUAACCUCGGGAAACUGAGAAUAAUGAUCCAUAGUUCACUACGCCUGGAACGGUGAGUGGAUGAAAGCUCCGGCGGCAUAGGAUGGGCCUGCGGCGUAUCAGGUUGUAGGGGGUGUAACGUACCCUCUAGCCCUCUACGCGUACGGGUGUUGGGAGACAUAGCCCGGAG
rnacentral:rRNA from 1 species